CAUGAGUGGCGGACGGGUGAGUAACGCGUGGGCAACCUGGCCUGUACAGGGGGAUAACACUUAGAAAUAGGUGCUAAUACCGCAUAACGGGGGAAGCCGCAUGGCUUUUCCCUGAAAACUCCGGUGGUACAGGAUGGGCCCGCGUCUGAUUAGCCAGUUGGCAGGGUAACGGCCUACCAAAGCGACGAUCAGUAGCCGGCCUGAGAGGGUGAACGGCCACAUUGGGACUGAGACACGGCCCAGACUCCUACGGGAGGCAGCAG
rnacentral:rRNA from 1 species